UACAGAGGGGGCGAGCGUUGUUCGGAAUUACUGGGCGUAAAGGGCGCGUAGGCGGCCCGCUAAGUCGAACGUGAAAUCCCCAGGCUCAACCUGGGAACUGCGUCCGAUACUGGCAGGCUUGAAUCCGGGAGAGGGAUGUGGAAUUCCUGGUGUAGCGGUGAAAUGCGCAGAUAUCAGGAGGAACACCAAUUGCGAAGGCAGCUCGCUGGGACGUUACUGACGCUGAGACGCGAAAGCGUGGGGAGCAAACAGG
rnacentral:rRNA from 1 species